ensembl:snoRNA
GCUGUCCUGGACCUGCCGGCACUGCAGACAGUUGCUCUGCUGUGCCUGUGACGUCGGGGCAGAGAGAAAGUGGCGAUUUCUACACUCAGUGUUCCGGGGCCAGUGAGCACUGGGAAUGGUUUAUAGCCUGACAUUA